rnacentral:rRNA from 1 species
UUAGAGUUUGAUUCUGGCUCAGGAUGAACGCUAGCGGCAGGCCUAAUCAUGCAAGUCUAGGGGGCAGCAAUGUCACCGCGAAACGGGUGCGUAACGGUAUGCAACCUACCUGUUACAGGGGGAUAACUCAGGGAAACUUGAGCUAUACCGCAUAUUAUUAUUUGGUCGCAUGAUUGGAUAAUGAAAGCUUUGGCGUAACAGAUGGGCAUGCGUAGGAUUAGCUAGUUGGUAGGGUAACGGCCUCCAAGGCGACGAUCCUUAGGGGUUCUGAGAGGAAGGUCCCCCACACUGGACUGAGACACGGGCCAGACUCCUACGGGAGGCAGCAGUAGGGAAUAUUGGCAAUGGUCGGAAGACUGACCCAGCCAUGCCGCGUGCAGGAAGAAGGCGUAUGCGUUGUAAACUGCUUUUGUCGUGGAAGAAAAAGGUAGUGCGCUAUAAUUGACGGUACACGAUGAAUAAGCAUCGGCUAACUCCGUGCCAGCAGCGCGGUAAUACGGAGGAUGCGAGCGUUGUCCGGAUUUAUUGGGUUUAAAGGUGCGUAGGCGGUUGUAUAAGUCGGCGGUAAAAUUCGGUAGCUCAACUACGGCCUGCCAUCGAUACUGUACGGCUUGAGUGUUUGUGAGGUGGGCGGAUUGGUAGUGUAGCGGUGAAAUGCAUAGAUAUUACCAGGAACAUCGAUUGGAAGGCAGCUCACUGAC